UACGUAGGCAGCGAGCGUUGUUCGGAGUUACUGGGCGUAAAGAGUGCGUAGGCGGUUUUCUAAGUUUGGGGUGAAAUCUCCCGGCUUAACUAGGAGGGUGCGCCGAAAACUGGAAGGCUUGAGUAUGGGAGAGGUAAGCGGAAUUCCUGGUGUAGCGGUGAAAUGCGUAGAUAUCAGGAGGAACACCUGCGGUGUAGACGGCUUACUGGACCAUAACUGACGCUGAGGCACGAAAGCGUGGGUAGCAAACAGG
rnacentral:rRNA from 1 species